rnacentral:RNase_P_RNA from 1 species
UAAGGUACUAGAGUUAAUCGCUUGUUUUUAACAAGAGGAAAGUCCGGGCUCCAUAGAGCAGAAGGGUAGCUAACGGCUACUAAAGGAAACUUUAAGGAAAGUGCCACAGAAAAGAUACCGCCUUCGGGUAAGGGUGAAAAGGUGGUGUAAGAGACCACCAGUUUCUUAGGAGACUAAGGAAGCUAGGUAAACCCCCUUCGGAGCAAGACUAAAUAGGAGAGGUUAAUGGGUUGCUCGUCCACUCUCAGGGUAAGUUGCUCGAAAUUAUAAGCAAUUAUAAUUCUAGAUAAAUGAUUAGCAAAUACAAAACCCGGCUUAUUUAGUGCCUUAUAUU